rnacentral:rRNA from 1 species
CCUACGGGAGGCAGCAGUGGGGAAUAUUGCACAAUGGGCGAAAGCCUGAUGCAGCAACGCCGCGUGAGGGAUGAAGGCCUUCGGGGCGGAAAGCUCUGUCCUCAAGGAAGAGAAUGACGGUACGUGAGGAGGAAGCCACGGCUAACGACGUGCCAGCAGCCGCGGUAAUACGUAGGGGGCUAGCGUUAUCCGGAUGUACUGGGCGUAAGGGGGGCGUAGGUGGUUUCUUAAGUCAGUGGUAAAAGGCUACGGCUCACCCGUAGGUAGCCUUUGAAACUGGGGAACUUGAGUGCAGGAGAGGCGAGUGGAAUUCCUCGUGUAGCGGUGAAAUGCGUAGAUAUUAGG